rnacentral:lncRNA from 1 species
CGGAUGAACCACCGUUGACAUCGAAAGUCUCAACCAUGCUGUUUUCCUCCACACUUCAGUAAUCAGGACAUCCAGCAAACCCAUAAAAAACCAAACUAAUAGCAUGAAUAUUCAGUGACCUAGAAUACUAAUUAUUGUCAUGAAUAUUAAUGUGAUCGGACUUGCUUUUUCCUCUUGAUUAACGCGGAGCACUUGGGGGAGAGAUGAGAGGCUUCACGUGGGCCUGAUCGGGGGAGGCAAUGAGACACCGGCGGCUCUGUUGCUGCUCCC